GAAACCGGAGCUAAUACCGGAUAAUAUAUUGAACCGCAUGGUUCAAUAGUGAAAGACGGUUUUGCUGUCACUUAUAGAUGGAUCCGCGCCGCAUUAGCUAGUUGGUAAGGUAACGGCUUACCAAGGCAACGAUGCGUAGCCGACCUGAGAGGGUGAUCGGCCACACCGGAACUGAGACACGGUCCAG
rnacentral:rRNA from 1 species